AAUGCCUAGGAAUCUGCCUGGUAGUGGGGGAUAACGUUCGGAAACGGACGCUAAUACCGCAUACGUCCUACGGGAGAAAGCAGGGGACCUUCGGGCCUUGCGCUAUCAGAUGAGCCUAGGUCGGAUUAGCUAGUUGGUGAGGUAAUGGCUCACCAAGGUGACGAUCCGUAACUGGUCUGAGAGGAUGAUCAGUCACACUGGAACUGAGACACGGUCCAGACUCCUACGGGAGGCAGCAGUGGGGAAUAUUGGACAAUGGGCGAAAGCCUGAUCCAGCCAUGCCGCGUGUGUGAAGAAGGUCUUCGGAUUGUAAAGCACUUUAAGUUGGGAGGAAGGGUUGUAGAUUAAUACUCUGCAAUUUUGACGUUACCGACAGAAUAAGCACCGGCUAACUCUGUGCCAGCAGCCGCGGUAAUACAGAGGGUGCAAGCGUUAAUCGGAAUUACUGGGCGUAAAGCGCGCGUAGGUGGUUUGUUAAGUUGGAUGUGAAAUCCCCGGGCUCAACCUGGGAACUGCAUUCAAAACUGACUGACUAGAGUAUGGUAGAGGGUGGUGGAAUUUCCUGUGUAGCGGUGAAAUGCGUAGAUAUAGGAAGG
rnacentral:rRNA from 1 species